rnacentral:rRNA from 1 species
UACGGGGGGAGCAAGCGUUGUUCGGAUUUACUGGGCGGAAAGGGCGCGUAGGCGGCCACUGCAAGUCGGUUGUGAAAUCUCCGGGCUUAACCCGGAAAGGUCAAUCGAUACUGCAGGGCUAGAGUGCGGAAGGGGCAACUGGAAUUCUCGGUGUAGCGGUGAAAUGCGUAGAUAUCGAGAGGAACACCUGCGGCGAAGGCGGGUUGCUGGGCCGACACUGACGCUGACAGCGCGAAAGCUAGGGGAGCGAACGGG